GAUGAACGUUGGCGGUGUGCCUAAUACAUGCAAGUCGAACGGAGUUAAUAGCAAUAUUGACUUAGUGGCGAACGGGUGAGUAACGCGUUGGGUGAUCUGCCUCAAAAGUGUGGAAUAACGUUCCGAAAGGAACGCUAAUACCGCAUGUGCUCUCGAUUUUAGAAAGUUGAGAGUAAAGGAUUUAUUCGCUUUGAGAGGAGCCUGCGUCCCAUCAGCUAGUUGGUAGGGUAAUAGCCUACCAAGGCUUUGACGGGUAGGGGACCUGAGAGGGUCGGCCCCCCACAAUGGAACUGAAACACGGUCCAUACACCUACGGGUGGCAGCAGUAGGGAAUAUUAGAAAUGGACGAAAGUCUGAUCUAGCGACACCGCGUGUGCGAUGAAGGCCUUCGGGUUGUAAAGCACUUUUUGGAAGGAAUAGGAAGGAAGGUACUUCCAGAAUAAGUCUCGGCUAACUACGUG
rnacentral:rRNA from 1 species